rnacentral:lncRNA from 1 species
AUGAACACGUACCACGCUGCACCUUGGACUCCUUCUUCAUCAGACGAGCGUUACAGAACUACCCACCACAAAUGGACCAAGCAGCGUGGUAACGAGGAGCAGAGGGUUCAGGACUCCUGGACUUGCGAGGAGAUAUUGGACGGACAGGGACCCUGGAGACAGGCUGGGGAAUAUUUCCGCUCGAAGGAAGAACUAGAGGCAGCGAAAGCUGAGGCGACGAUAAGAGGUAAGGCAGCGCAGCAGGCACGAGAGGCAGCAGGGAGAUUGGCGGAAUCAGGCGAUAGACCUGAGCCAACUCCCCGUGCUUACCGGUCUCCAGUGUGCGCUCAUAUCCCGGAGCGCUAUAUGCCAGCCCCCCGCAAGUGCCAUGCGAGAGUGGGCAUCCAGCCAGGGCGGAAUGUGCCAGCUCAGCGUGUUUGGUCUCCGGUGCGCCGUUUCGGCCUAGGGUAUCCUCCACCGGCUCUGCGUACUGUGUCUCCGGGGCGUUGGGAGGGUUCAGUUUGUCCUAUGCCUGCGCUCCGCCGGUGCUGGGCGAAAGUGGGCAUUGAGCCUAAUGGAGAGGUGCGAGUGUUAAGCACCAGAUCUCCAGUGCUCUCCCACAGCCCGGUUCGACCUGUGCCUGCACUCUGGAGGGGCCGGGCUAAAGUGGUCAUUCAGCCUGGAGGAGUGGUGCCAAGGCUGCGCACCAGAGCUCCAGUGCUCCCCCACAGCCCUGUUCAUCCGGUGCCUCCUCUACACACCAGGCCUCCUGUAGUUCUCCCCAGCCUGGUGGGCCCUGUGGCAGCCCCACGCUCCAGGCUGUCUCGACGUCUCCUCCCUCCAGAGUCUUCCUCCAGUCCGGAGCCUCUAGAGGCGCCCUUCAGUCCGGAGCUUCCAGAGGCGCCCUUCAGUCCGGAGCUUCCAGAGGCGCCCUUCAGUCCGGAGCUUCCAGAGGCGCCCUUCAGUCCGGAGCUUCCAGAGGCGCCCUUCAGUCCGGAGCUUCCAGAGGCGCCCUUCAGUCCGGAGCUUCCAGAGGCGCCCUUCAGUCCGGAGCUUCCAGAGGCGCCCUUCAGUCCGGAGCUUCCUGUGGCGCCUUUCAGUCCGGAGCUUCCAGAGGCGCCCUCCAGUCCGGGGCCCACUACAAGGGUCCCCAGUCCGGCCCCCGCAAUGAGGGCCCCCAGUCCGAUGCCCGCUACGAGGGUCCCAAGUCCGGGGUCGGCGGCGAGGAUCCGUGCCACCUAA